CCUACGGGCGGCUGCAGUGGGGAAUAUUGGACAAUGAGGGCAACCCUGAUCCAGCCAUGCCGCGUGUGUGAAGAAGGCCCUCGGGUUGUAAAGCACUUUCAGUGAGGAAGAACGCCUGGUGGUUAAUACCCAUCAGGAAAGACAUCACUCACAGAAGAAGCACCGGCUAACUCCGUGCCAGCAGCCGCGGUAAUACGGAGGGUGCGAGCGUUAAUCGGAAUUACUGGGAGUAAAGCGCGCGUAGGUGGCUUGAUAAGCCGGUUGUGAAAGCCCCGGGCUCAACCUGGGAACGGCAUCCGGAACUGUCAAGCUAGAGGGCAGGAGAGGAAGGUAGAAUUCCCGGUGUAGCGGUGAAAUGCGUAGAGAUAGGGAGGAAUACCAGUGGCGAAGGCGGCCUUCUGGACUGACACUGACACUGAGGUGCGAAAGCGUGGGUAGCAAACAGGAUUAGAUACCCCGGGAGUC
rnacentral:rRNA from 1 species